CAGCACGAGAGCUUGGCCAGCGCCGCCGUCCACGCAACCAUCCCUCGCCGCGUCGGUAGCCUGCUGCUUCCGCCGGCAUAGAGCGGCCGCCUACUUCUGCAAGUCCGGGCGCGUCGAGUGCGGCCAUUUCCUCCGAUGGAGGUCUCAAUCUCAGUCAGACCAUGCCGCAUCUACAAAUCAGAAAAAAGGAAGGGGAUUUGAGGUCCAGAACUAGUCAACCGGAGGAUGGGUCGGCCUCCUAGGCGCGAUGGAGCUCCUCGAGGUAGACGUUGCUGGUGCCGUCGAGCGCGGUGAGCCUGGGGAGCGGAACGGCGCGGGGCGUGGGGGUUGAGGCCUGCGGUGCAGCGCGGAGGCGUGGAGCCAGGCGGAUCGGGUGGCGGCGGUGCUGGCCAUGGCGCGGAAUCCAGGCGCCCUCCCGUCGAGCUGGUGCUGCACAGCGAGCUUUGGGUUGAACUGCCCCCGCCUCCCGCGCGCCUCCAAGGGCCGCGCCCGCGACACCAGUUUCCCGCCGUAGAACGCCGCCCGCCACCAUGGCCAGAGCUCGGUGGACGAGGCCGCGCCACCUUCUUCCUUCCUCUGCAGUCACCGAGGAGGAACUGCUAUAGAGUGCCGUAGCAGGGUGGGAGGAAGACGAUGACAAGUGACGUGGGCGUAUGCAUGGAAGGCUAGUUCAGCCAAGUAGUUUAGUCUGCUCUAGCGAAGUGGUGUCUGUGGCUGGGUUUUGGACUUGCAUACGCCAAAGAGCUGCAAUGAUAACUACUUAUUCACGCCGCACACGUACUCACAAACAUGCAGAAAAAGCUUAGAACCGUUUACUGGCCGUGAAGUCGCUGUGAGUGGAUACACAGAAUCCAACGGUGCUAGACAAUAUCCAACGGUGAUAAAAGCAUGCGCACCUA